UAUUUAAAGCGUUCUUAAGAGUCUGAUUGGUAACACAAAACUAUAAAAAAUUUAGUUGUUAAAUGGAGCUAUAAGCAUUCUUCGGAAUAGUACAAAACUAUAAGAAGAGGUGUACCAGAAAGCUGUACAAAAAAACUGAGGGUAAAGCUUUUAGUAAACGCUUUUUAUAAAGCUUUUGUGAUUGGUAAUUGUCAAACUUGUACAAAGUAUACAGUUUUGAUAGUGGGUUACCAUUCAAAUCCGAAAAGUUUUACUCUCAACUUUUUUGUAUAACUUUCUUGUACAGUUCUUUCCUACAAUUUUGCACUAUUCCGAAAAAAAUGAGAUUAGGAAUGAAAAAACAUAUGAUGCUACUUAUGGUAUAUUUGUGGUUACAAAACCCUAGAGUUUCAUUAAUAUCACCAGAAUAGAGAAUGAUCAGAGACUUAGACCAAUGGGCUCUCACCAUUUUUUAACUUAUAUUUUGAUAAAUUGUUAGAUGAGAGAGCUUGUGUUUC
rnacentral:sRNA from 1 species